UGGUGGAGUGAUUUGUCUGGUUGAUUCCGAUAACGAACGAGACCCGAGCUCUAAAAUAGUACGCGUUUUCUCACGAAAGCGCGCGACUUCUUUUGAGGACUACCCAGGUUUACUGGGGGAAGCGUCGGUCAAUAACA
rnacentral:rRNA from 1 species